UACGAAGGGGGCUAGCGUUGCUCGGAAUCACUGGGCGUAAAGGGUGCGUAGGCGGGUCUUUUAAGUCAGGGGUGAAAUCCUGGAGCUCAACUCCAGAACUGCCUUUGAUACUGAGGAUCUUGAGUUCGGGAGAGGUGAGUGGAAUUCCGAGUGUAGAGGUGAAAUUCGUAGAUAUUGGGAAGAACACCGGUGGCGAAGGCGGCGCUCUGGACCGAGACUGACGCUGAGGCGCGAAGGCGUGGGGAGCAAACAGG
rnacentral:rRNA from 1 species